CAUAACAUAGCUUAGUAAAAGCAUCUCGCUUACACCGAGAAGUCAUCUGUUAAAACCAGAUUUUUAUGAG
rnacentral:tRNA from 1 species